UUACAUUGGGGAAAAGAAAGAAAUGAUCAUGGAGAUCGUUUAAGGCUGACUUGGAUCAUUAUGAUUCUUUUCAACCAAAAUUAGAGAAGCAAAUAAGGAAUUGGAGGCUUUAAUCAACACUGUACAAGAUCAAGACCCUUUGGACUCUUGAUUGAUAACAAGGGAUACGAAUGUUUUAUGGAACUUGAAGACAUGAUUAACGAGUUAAGACCUACAAGGUGACGAGCUAUGAGGUAAGUCAUCCAUACCUCAUAUAUGGGACUUAACUAUUAUAUGUCGUUAUAUUAUAGUAAAAUUCGUUUGUACAUAUAUUCUUAUAAGGUUUGUUGAGAUUAAUUUGGGUUGAAGAUUUUGUUGUUGUCUAGAGUGCACAUUUACAGAUCGAGAGUUAGUUCGGGCAUUAAACGGUUUCAUUACAACAUGACAUACAGUCUCAACAUUCCCGAAACACGUGUUUAGGUUCUAAAUAAGAUUUUAAGUUAAAUGGGCUUAAUUAAGGACCUAUAACAAUCUUUAAAACUGAUUUACAUAUGCUGUCCAAACCAGGUCAGCCUACUUGCAGAGGUUUGUCUAGGGCCUUAACAGUCUCGUUUUGGCAUGAUUUUUGGUCAGAAGUUAAAUAAUAUUACAAAUGAUUUUAUGUAAUUUUUGUAGAUUUUUCUGAAAAUGUUUGAUGUGGUUUUGUGGGUGUUUUGUCGACAAAAUAUAGGUUGACAACAACCAGGUCAGCCUACUUGCAGAGGUUAUUUCGGGGCCUUAACCAUCUUGUUUUGGCAUGAUUUUUGUUGAGAAGUUGGAUAACAUUAUAAAUGAUUUUAUGUAAUUUUUGUAGAUUUUGCUGAAAUUCUUUGAUGUGGUUUUGAUGGUGUUUUCUUCAUAAAAUAGUCGUUGACAACAUUAUGUUUAAAAAACGUUGUAACGGGUCAAAAGUUUAUACAUCACUAACCAAAUGGUAACAGGUCAAGAGGGUGAAUAAGUAGCCUUUAUAGUUUUAGUUUGUGAUUUACGUUAAUAAUAUGAUACUUAGAUGAGAACGAAAUCUAAUAAGUAAAUGGGACUUGAUUAAAAUGUUACAACACGGUGAAUAUUGAAAUUUUGACCCGUUAUGAUUUUAUAAAUGAAAUGUGUGAUCUCAGGGAUUUGGUUUAUGGCAAAUAGAUUGGGUACAUUUACUAAUGAUCUUUAUUAUGUCAAGGAUCAAAUUUAGAUAUGUUAGCAGGUUGCAUGGAUCGAAACAAAUCGAAUGAGUUUAAUGAUGGUAAAUUGAUGCUGAAGGUGGUUGCCUAUGUCCCUCCCAAGAUAGACUAUGCAUGUUGUGGAAGCUUACGCCAAAUACCUUAGGGUAUACGGGGCACUCUCGGUGACCCCUACCGGUGACCCAAGUCCCCGCUCGGGAACACAGGCGCCAUCAACGCGGGGACCGAAUUCGGUGAGCAUUCUCGGUGUGUAUCCACCGAUUGAGAGAGAGAGAGGAGAGAGAGAGGGGGUGAUUGGUUUGAGUGCUGCCACCAUCCAAACUCCACCAAUCAUAUUUUUUCCUUUUUUUUAUAAAAAAAUAAUUGUGUGAGUGGAGUGAUGCCAUCAAAUUGAGGGUAUGAGGGGAGUUUAAGAGGGGAGUUGACGUGGCAUAACCUGAUUGGGUGUGUGUAAGAGAGGGGACUCCCCUAAGAGGGGAGUGCCCCUCUCACCCUUAUGUGAUAUGUUGUGGUUUACGCCAAAGUGCAUGUGGGUGUAGGUUAUGCCAUGGCUGGUGUAGCCUACGCCGUAUUUGUCUUCUCCUAUCCAUUUUUGUCGUGUUAAAACUUAUUUUGAUGCAAACCUUUUGCCAUGUUUCCUAGAUGUUAUACAACUAACUUAAGGUUUUGUAAUACCUUAGGUAAUGCUGUGGAUAAGUAUCGUUGAAGGCUUUGGAUUUGAAGAUUAAGUGCUUGGGACGGACUACGAAUAUCACAUCAUGGAGAUGAGAUGUCAUUUUGUGUAGUAAUUGAUUAACGAACGUAAGGUUAUUAGAUUAUAUUUUUUAUAAAAGAUAAUGUUGAUGACGUAUACUCAUGAAAAUAAGUUUAUACAAUGAUAUAAAAAAAAUUUGGGACCUAGUUUCCGCAUUUAAUUUAAA